GAUUUGAACUCCGGACCUUCGGAAGAGCAGUCGGGUGCUCUUACCCACUGAGCCAUCUCACCAGCCCCUACAAAUCACUUUUUAAAAAUGAAAACUGAUGGUAAACAAGAACAUUAUCGAGGAGGAGGAGGGAAGAUCUUGACAUAGCAUAGGACAAAAUUGUAAAAUCAGAAACUUAACAGGGUACUUUGUGAGAUCACAGAAAAGUCUGGGCAAAGUGUAAGAAAUUCAGAAUUCCUUCUGAGAUAAAGGACUGGCACCUGCUGAGGUCAACUCGGUCUUUGAAAGUUUCAUUAUAGGACUGGAGAUACGUCUUAGUAGCAAGAGUGUUUGCCUAAGUAAGUUCAAGGUUCAAUCCCCAAUACUGAGUAGAGAAAACCUUUCUAUAUGGCUUGGUGUGGUGGCGCUCACCAACAACUCCAGUACCCGUAAGGUAAAGGCAGAAAUAUGUAGGGGCCAACCUGGCCGACACACUGAAGCCCUAAAUCAAAGGAGACCUCUCCCCACUGUCUGUAAAUCUUGCUCCAACCAAGAGAUCAGAUUGGGUUUGAUGACUUCACAUCCUACAUAUAAGGAAACAAUGUAUUCAUGGAAGUGGUUCAUUCUGUAGGAAAAAAAGGAACAAUAAAUUUAGGACCCCCGUCUCCCUUUGUGUAUUUAUGUGUACAUUAUGUAUAUGUUGGUGUAUGUGUGCAUGUGAACAUGUGUCAGGUGCCUUCCUUGAUAACUCUCCACCUUUUAUACUGAGGCAGGGUUUAUUGCUGGACACGGAGCUCAUCACUCCAGCUACUGCAGCCCAGCAACUCCCCAGAUCUUGUGUCUCUGUCCUCUGAGUGCUUGGGAUUAUAAGCAGCCACUAUGCCUGCCGACUUUUCACCUGAGUUUUGAGGAUUCAAACUACAAUUUUCAUGAUGGUAGAGGCAAGUGCUUUAUCACUGAGCCAUUUCCCUACCUCUGGUGUGUCCGAAGACAGCUACAGUUUACUCAUAUACAAUCAAUCAAUCAAUCAAUCAAUCAAUCAAUCAAUCAAUCUUUAAAAAACAAAACAAAAUUGGAGUUCAAAUCCCCAGACUCUAUGUAAAGCCAGGCAUAGUAAUAUUCACAUACUCACACACAAUUUAUAGAAGUCACCUCAUACCCCCAAUAUUCAUUUCUAUAGGUUAAGAAUUCACCAAGUGGAAACCAAAAACAUUAUACAGAAAUUUCCAGAAAUAAUUUCUAAGAUUUAUUUAUUGUUUUUUAAAAUGUAUUUAUUGUUCUUUGUGAGUUCAAGGCCAGACUCAUCUGCAUAGCAAGUUGCAGGCCAGCCAAAGCUACAUAGUAAGCUUCCAUCUCAAAAAGACCAAAAAACCCAAAAGAAGAAAACCAAAACAAUAAAUGGGACCAAUAAGAUAGUUCACCUCAGCUGAUAAAGCCAAGCCUGAUGAGUUGAGUUUGACCCACAUGGUAGGAGAGAACCAAUACUUGUAAGUUGUUCUCUGACCUCCACAAGUGUGUCAUGUGUCUGCACAUGUACACGACAAUCACACAAAAAAUAAAAUUAUGAUAAAUAUGUGUAAAUUACUGAGAUCUGAAGUAUGGCUAGUUAGGAAUUAGUAUGUAGGUAUAAAUAUGAUUCUUAAAAUUUAUUUUAAAAACAGUGUAUCAUUAUUUUUAAAAUCCAUUUAAAAAUUUUCUACUGUGUGUGUGUGUGUAUACCAUGUUUGCACAGGUAUUUUCAGGGGUCAGAAGAGGUCCUUGGAUACCAAGCAGAGAUUUAGUUGGUUGUGAGCCUCCAUGUGCAUACUGGGAACUGACUUCGGGCCCUCUGGAAGAGCAGCAAGCUCUCUUACACAUCAGCUAACUCUUCUGCCCUCUCAUUACUUAUUUUUAUUGUCUAUAUUUAUUAGUAUUUUGCAUGUAAUGAGUUCAAUUAAAAUGUAGUAAAAAUUAACAAAAACAUUUGCCUAAAAAUUGAAGAGGUCCUCUUGAAUCACUUAAGCACAUAUAUGUACAUACAGCCAAUAUAAAUAAAAAUAUACAUAAAAUAUGUAUCUAUAGUUUUUUAAUUUUGUUGCCAACGCUUGGAGGAGGAAUCCAGGGCUCAGCAGAGGCAGAGUACACAUCCCCACUCCUGAGCCUAAUCUCUCCUCCCAGCGCUCACCCGUGCAGGUGGCAGGUCCAUGAUGUGGAAGAACACUCGGCACACCCUUUAACGUGUAUCCAACGGCG
rnacentral:lncRNA from 1 species